rnacentral:rRNA from 1 species
GCGUGAGUGAUGAAGGCCCUAGGGUUGUAAAACUCUUUCACCGCUGAAGAUAAUGACGGUAAGCGGAGAAGAAGCCCCGGCUAACUUCGUGCCAGCAGCCGCGGUAAUACGAAGGGGGCUAGCGUUGUUCGGAAUCACUGGGCGUAAAGCGCACGUAGGCGGAUUGGUCAGUCAGGGGUGAAAUCCCGGGGCUUAACCCCGGAACUGCCUUUGAUACUGCCAAUCUUGAGUUCGGGAGAGGUGAAUGGAAUUCCGAGUGUAGAGGUGAAAUUCGU